CGGACGGGUGAGUAAUGUCUGGGAAACUGCCUGAUGGAGGGGGAUAACUACUGGAAACGGUAGCUAAUACCGCAUAACGUCGCAAGACCAAAGAGGGGGACCUUCGGGCCUCUUGCCAUCGGAUGUGCCCAGAUGGGAUUAGCUAGUAGGUGGGGUAACGGCUCACCUAGGCGACGAUCCCUAGCUGGUCUGAGAGGAUGCCAGCCACACUGGAACUGAGACACGGUCCA
rnacentral:rRNA from 1 species